CUUUUGGAUGAAGCGGGUGGUAAUUCGGCAUUGUGGUCAAUUGAAUGGAACGGGCAUGGGAUCUGUUCUGAUCUCCAAAACGAUCCUCUUGCCUAUUUCAAAUGUGUUACCGUUCUCUUCAACGACCGAAAAUUCGGAAAUUUAAGACAAGAUGUGGGAAUUGAAGUUGGAAAAUCUUAUACAUUAGCCGAAAUACAGAAAAAAUUGAAUGACAAAUAUAAAGUAAAUCCUCAAAUUGCAUGCAACAAAAACACUCAGCUGUGGGAGAUCCGUUUCUGUUAUAAAAGGGUAGAAGGAAGAGAACCUGCUGACCUUGAAGACUGCCCCAAGUUAUCGGAUACAAAAUAUCACUGUGAU